GUGAAACUGUUUGAAAAAAACAAACAAAACAAAAAAACAAAAAAAAAGAAAAAGAAAUGCAUUACUCACAUUUUGAAACUUUUGGGGAGAGCAGAUCAGGUGCCUAAGCCAGUCCAAAAAUGGCUUUGACAAAGCAAAAGCAAGUGGCCCUGGGAUUACUGCAGUUAGGGGUGGAACCUGGGUGAGCAUUCCUGCACAAAGACCCAGGCUUUGUGUGGCUUGAACUUCCCCCUACAGUGCCAAGAGAAGGAGUGCAUGCGCUUUCUAUUGGCUCACUUACCUGUGGGUAAGAGGGAAUCGUGGAAGUGGAGCUUGAAAGUUUUCAGUCGUAGAACACCAAAAAUGCAGUCAGGUUCUUUAUAAUAUGGGGUCACACCUUAAAUCCCGCCCAGUUUUCUGAUACCAAGAGAUUCAAUGCAAUAAUAUACCAUCCAUUAACCAAUGGAUGGUUAUGGAAUUCUUUUCCUGGUGAUUAUAACUUUAAAGCAUUUUUUUAACCCAUCAUCCUUUAGUUUAUGCCUGUUUAAUCUGGUAGGAUGUGCAGGCACAGUCCAUUUCCAGAGAGAGAGAGUAAAGUGAUUGUUAGCCAACCAUAAACACAUACGGAGGCACCCUUCACUUUGUACUGUGGCACCUAGCCCACACAAGUGAGGAACGCUUCUGUUUGUACUCUCUCGCUGUCGUAUUAUCCUGUCCAUGAGCCCCUCGGUUUGUUUUUUAUUUUGUUCUUCUGCCCCUCCUAAGAUACCAGAUUCAUUCUUGAGACCAGCCAGGCAGCCUUGGUGUUGACCCACUAGCGGUGGGGCAGCUGCACCUGAUCCUUAGCCUGUGUUACUGGACAGGUGUCAAAUCUUUGAAGUAAAAACAAAAUCCUAAACCCUGGCUGGGCCUGGUGCCUCAUGCCUAUAAGGCUAGCAAUUCGAAAGGUUGAAGUGGAAGGAUCUCUUGAGCCCAGGAGUUGGAGACCAGCCUAGGCAACAUAGUGAGACCUUAUCUCUACUAAAAUUUUUUUUUUUAAUUAGCUGGGUAUUAACUUUGAAAUUUACUGCUUUUGGUCAAAAUCCACUCUUCAGCUAAUGCUUUCUUCCAGCUGGUUGUCUUCUUGCCUGCUCUGUGUUGUAAAAUGAGGGUCCCUUACUGCAUUAUCAAGGGGAAGGCAAGACUGGGACGUCUAGUCCACCGGAAGACCUGCUCCACUGUCGCCUUCACAUAGGUGAACUCGGAAGACAAAGGCGCUUUGGCUAAGCUGGUGGACGCUAUCAGGACCAAUUACAACGACAAAAACGAUGAGAUCCGCUAUCACUGGGGCGGCAAUGUCCUGGGUCCCAAGUCUGUGGCUCGCAUCGCCAAGCUUGAAAAGGCAAAGGCUAAAGAACUUGCCACUAAACUGGGUUAAAUGUACACUGUUGAGUUUUUUGUACAUAAAAAUAAUUAAAAUAAUACAAAUUUUACUUCAAAAAAAAA